UCGGGAAUCUUGGGCAAUGGGCGAAAGCCUGACCCAGCGACGCCGCGUGGGGGAGGAAGCCCUUCGGGGUGUAAACCCCUGUCGUCCGGGACGAAGGCUAGGGGUUGAAAGGCCUCUGGCUGACGGUACCGGAAGAGGAAGCCCCGGCUAACUACGUGCCAGCAGCCGCGGUAAGACGUAGGGGGCGAGCGUUGUCCGGAAUCACUGGGCGUAAAGGGCGCGUAGGCGGCCUGGCAAGUCGGAUGUGAAAGGCCCCGGCUCAACCGGGGAGGUGCAUCCGAAACUGCUGGGCUUGAGGGCAGGAGAGGGCAGCGGAAUUCCCGGUGGAGCGGUGAAAUGCGUAGAGAUCGGGAGGAACACCAGUGGCGAAGGCGGCUGCCUGGCCUGUCCCUGACGCUGAGGCGCGACAGCGUGGGGAGCGAACGGG
rnacentral:rRNA from 1 species